rnacentral:rRNA from 1 species
UACGGGGGGGGCAAGCGUUGUUCGGAAUUACUGGGCGUAAAGGGCUCGUAGGCGGCCAACUAAGUCGGAUGUGAAAUCCCCAGGCUUAACCUGGGAACUGCAUCCGAUACUGGAUGGCUUGAAUCCGGGAGAGGGAUGCAGAAUUCCAGGUGUAGCGGUGAAAUGCGUAGAUAUCUGGAGGAAUACCCGUGGCGAAGGCGGCUCUCUGGGACGGUACUGACGCUGAGGAGCGAAAGCGUGGGGAGCGAACAGG